UGUGGGGAACGGGGAAUGCGUGAAGUGGCGAGGGCAGUGAGGCUGGAAGAGCUGAAAGAGGCUGGGGGGGUGGGGAGGAGAGUUGGAUUAACUGCGUGUGUGCCUCCCCUGGUCCCGCAGACACACACUUUGUGAGGAAGUGGCUGAGGUGGGGGUGAGCAAGCCGUCCCAGUAUCAACAAGGCAAAGACUAGCCAGGCUGGGGGAACAGCAGGAUAUUGAUACAUUGCCUGGUGCUAUGUGGGUGUCUAUCAGCCGCACAUCUCACUGAGUCAGGGUUAUUUUUCUCUUCACCAUGACAGAGAUGUGUUAAACAGGAACAUGUUCGGAUUAAAAUCCUCAACGUACUUCUUCACAGCUGUUGGUUUGAAGGAAGUGUGAAGAAUGAUUGAAACCACCAUGACAGUAAGAG